CCCUCGGGACUACAGAGGGAAAGAAGAGAAGUGGCUGGAGGUGAUAAAAUGUAGAGUAGCCCUAAACUCGGUGAGGCACGACGGGAGUUGUAGUUCUUCCACCUCGCGGGCUCCGUUUCCGGGCGGUUUCCCAGUAGUUUUAGCCCUGCGUGCAGCCUGGCCUAGUACGCCUCCGGCGGCGCUUUGCUUGGAGGUUGCUGCUGUUACUGUAGGGAUGUGUUUGAUGCUGGUCCAUGCAUUUGGCGACACACCCUGGAGACUCUCUUGGAUACGGACACCAUUAACGUCAAACGGAGAGUUUUAGAGCAACCAAGAGUGACCACUGUUUACCGAGCACUUUCUCUGAAGCACGCACUGCGCUACGUGCUCUCAAUAAUUAGCCACAUUCAUUUAAUCCUAUGAAGUAGGAAUUAUUUAGUCUUAUUUUACAGAUGACACUACAGGCCAACAAAAAAGCUCAGUAAGAAUUCCAUUAUGGUGGUUGGGGGGGGGGGGGCGCUUAUGUUCAAAUCAGAAGGAAUUCCAGAGGGACACCCUUCAUUUAUCAAGCACUGAAGGAGAGUAGAGAUCGUGUUGGUGCUGAGGAUUCAGUGGUGAACAUAUGCACCAGACAAGUAGAAGGACAAUCAGAAUAACUGUUAAACGCUGAUAUGAAGUUGGUUCUAUGUGAGCACCCAUGGAAGAGUAGGGAGAACAGGCAGGUAGGAGGGAAAAUGGUGGUCUGUUAGGGACUGCAAACAGUUCAGGGUGGCAGCUACGAAGGGGAGUGGUGAAAGAUGAGUAGAGCAGGGGUUGGCAAACUUUAAGGGCCAGACAGUAAAGAUUUUAGGGUUUUGUGGGCCAUACUGCCUUGGUCGCAGCUACUCAACUUGUAGCUGAAAAGAAGCCAUAGACAGUAUGAAUGGGUAGAGUUGUGUUCCAGUAAAGUUUUUUUUAUGGAUGCUGAAGUUUGAAUUUCAUGUAGUUUUCACUGUCAUGAAAUAUUAAUAUUUUGAAUUUUCAUAUAUAUAUGUAUGUAUAUAUAAAAGUUUUGUUUAUUUUGAGAGAGACAGAGAUAGCAUGAGUUGGGGAGAGGCAGAGAGAGAGGGGGAGAGAGAUAAUACCAAACAGGCUCCUCACUGCCAGGGCGGAGCCGGUCACAGGGCUUGAAACUCAAGAAACUGUGAGAUCAUUACCUGAGCCAGAACUGAGGGUCAGAUGCUUAACCAACUGAGCCACUCAGCCACCACAUCAUAUUUUGAUUUUUCCAACCGUUAAAAAAUGUAAAGGCUUUACAUUGGAAACAAAAACGGGCAGUGGGCUGGAUUUGGCUGGUUGGUAGUAUGUCCUCUCCUGAUCUGAAAGCUAAACUGGGGCCUGAUUAUCUGUGUUGUAUUAAACAAUUUAGGCUUUGGGUGGAGUCAUAGAUAAGUUUUAAGCAAGGACAGGGCAUGCAUAGGUAAAAUGAGUUUUAGAAAGAACUCUAGCUGUUAAGAACUAAAAGAACUGUAGAGGUCACAGGUGGAGACCAGAUAGGAGUCUUUUGAUGACAGCUUAAAUUAAAGUAGUAACAGUGGAAUGGAUGGACAGAUUUGAGAGGUAAUAGAAGGAGAACUGAUAGGAUACAGAGAUUGGUGGGGAUGAGGGAAAGUGAAGACUCAAGGCUAAUUUCUAGGCUUUGGGAUUGGAGAAUUAUGUGGCAUAUGGUGGUGCUAUUUAUUGAGCUGAGAGGAUUACAGGAGCUUUUUGAAGAGAGGAGGGUAUUUAAAUGUUGGACAUGUGGAUUUUGAAGUAUCUAUGGAAAAUGUAGGCAUGGAGCUUUAGAUCUGCAAAUUGUGCUGGUUUGCUUAUAAAGACGAGAUUGAGGGGUGCCUGGGUGGCUCAGUUGGUUAAGCCUCUGACUUUGGCUCAGAUCAUGAUCUCAUGGUUCCGUGGAUUCGGGCCCUGUGUUGGGCUCAGUGCUGACAGCUCAGCCUGGAGUCUGCUUUGGACUCUGUGUCUCCCUCUCUCUCUCUGCCCCUCCCCCACUCACGCUCUGUCUCUGUCAAAAAUAAAUAAACGUUGAAAAAAAUUAAAAACAUAAUAAAAUAAAGAUGAGAUUGAAUAGCAAUGACAAUACAUCCAUUUACUUAUUAAUACAAUAAUUUUUUUGGAAGAAUUCUCUGCUGUUCUGGGAGCCAAUUACACCUUGGAAGACCAUAGGAGAGCUUGACAGAGCAGAUAAGGAGUCACCAGCAUAUAAAUGGAAAUUGAAGGUAUGGGAAUUGAUGAGCUCACCCAUCAGAUGUAUAUAGAGUGAGAACAACAAGUCCUUGGAGAGGCAGCUGAGAACAGCAAUUGACUGGCAAUUGACACUGAGAAGGAACAGCCAAAAAGGCUAGCAGUAUGUGGCAGGAUCCUCUUUUGUGAUGUGGGUAGUGGCAAUGAGCCACAGCUUCUAGCCAGCCAUGAUUGCAAAGAAUGCAGUUUUCCAAGGCUUCAAACCACUCAGCAUGGAUGGCCUCCAACAGACCUGCAGCCACUAGUAGGGACUUUUAUGAUCACAUUGCGUCCAACUGGACAAUCCAGGACAUUCUCCCCAAAUCUGGUUGAAGGGAGGUCCAAGACUGGUAUGGUAGCUCAACACCACCACCAACUGACCCUUCUGUCUUGCUGUAUACCAUACUUGGCAAUGACCGGUCAGUCUCCAGAAUCAUGCAUGUGUUCCAGGCAAGAAGCAUGAAAUGGAAGAGGCGGUACCAGAAAUAGUAUUCAGCUUACAUUUCAUUUGCCAGAACUGAGUUAUAGGACCACCUCUAAUGGCAAGGACAUCUGAGAAGGAGGCUCAUCUCUUUGGUAACCAGUGCAUGCCUGGGGAGUCCUGCUUUGUGGAGCCCUUUACCUACGCCCUGGGCCAGCUUCCAAUGUGUUCUUGGCUUACUCGGUUAGAAGUAGCUGAGGAAGUUAUUUUUCAACACCAUUUUAGGCACAAAUAAGAAAAGAUACUGCGUUUUAUACAAAUGGAAGUUUUGCAUCAAGUUUUGAGUCAAGCAAGUCUAUUGGUGCCAUUGUUCCAGUAGCAGUUGUUCAUGUUGUGUCUCUGUGUCACAUUUUGGUAAUUUUCACAAUCUUUCAAACUUUUUUAUUGUUACUGUAUUUGUUGUGGUGAUCUGUGAUAAGUGAUAACUGAAAUCUCAGUGUUGGUUAGCAUUUUUUAGCAAUAAAGUAUUUUUUAUUGA